UCGCGCUCAUUCACUUCCGCCUCCCUCUCGGUCGCAACUGUUUUGCAUCUUGUUUCAUCGCGUUUCACGAUGCCCCGCUUCAACUACGAUUCCACCACGGCCGUCUGCAUCGCCACGGAAUAGGAGCUUUCUCGGUCAACCAAAUUGAAGAAGAGAUGUUAUGAUAUCGCUGA